rnacentral:misc_RNA from 1 species
UCGAAUGAACAUAGAGUCGGUUGUAGCUGGCCUUGCAAAAGGCAUGUGCACGCCUUCUCUUUCAUCCACACACCCCUGUGCACUUGUGAGACGGAGGCUUAUUUCUUCCCUUUCAUUUGGGGAGAUCAGUUUCCGUCUGCUACUACACAAAUUCAUAUAUUUAAUUCUGAAUGUAAUUGAUGUAACGCAUCUAUAUAC